rnacentral:misc_RNA from 1 species
CCACGCUAGGCGGCUACCUUGCGCAUUUGGAGCGUGAGGUGCGCACGCCGCACGACGGUGUGGCGGCCCUCAUUACACGCAUGCAGGCAUUGGCUCUCCCGUUUCACAGAGACGCCGUCCUCGCUGCGAGACGGAUGGUGCGGCACAGACAGACAUCAAGUCGGAAGCGGCCGAAACGGUUUCCAAUAGCAAUACACUCAUAGAUGCAGCGGCAAGAAGCUGCGGCCGCCUUACUUGCAGCUGCCGCGCUCACUGUGAGGCGAAAGAGAGGGAACCUGAGCUGCUGCAAAAACUGCCGGGCCGGCUAAGACGAGCAAGCGCAUGUGUCAUUGCUGCUACGGCCUCGCUCUUCCUCCUCAUGGCGCUGCGCACGGGCCCUACAAGAGUGGAAGAUGGCAUGCUGCGACGCAUCUUGACACAAGUGCCGGCGUCGCUGUGGCCCGUCGCGUGCAUCUCUCCCGUUCAGAGUGUCGGUGGGCAUUGUGACAUGGUGUACAGCGACGAGGUGGCCGUGACUGCAAAGCCAGCCAUGCCAGAGGCGCCGACGCUAAGUGCAUGGACGGCGGAUCUGGUCGCCGGCCUCAGACGCCAGGCCGCCAUCCCCCGAAACCGCGCCACAUGCUGAGACAAGAGGUUCUUGGCGGCAACGGUCCCACAUCAAAAGAGCGCGGAUGCUGAGCUUGCAAGACGACAGGCGACCAUGCUCCCCUGGCUCCGCACGGGCACGCGCCCGCACUUUGGAUCGCUGCAGCGGCGGGUGGCUGUCAGCGACCACCAUGGGGGGCGAGGAUGGCGUGCUGCCUGCUGUUCCGCUAGCACCGCAGUACUCCCCCCCCCUCCACCGCCGGAGUCUCCGCCCCGAAACAGGGCCCGGGGUCGCGGCCCCGCUUCGGAUCAAGGCACGCAGUCCGGCCCGGUCGGUGUGGCUGCUGAUCGCGCAGCACGCAUGCGAGGCAGAGGGACGAGGCAAGGGCAAGAGGAGCCCGUGAGGCGCACGGCCCGGUUCGGGGGCAGGACGGCUCGUCCUAGACGACCAGGACCGAGCCGCGGUGCAACACGCGGGUAGGUGCACCGUGUCGUUGUGUGCGUGUAUAUAUACACACAUACAUAUAUAUGGGUGAUGACGUGUUCGUGGCAGCAUGAACAUCUCGAAAGGAGUAGGUGAAGAUACUCUUGCCUGUGAGGUGGUUCGUGCUUCUUCACAAAUGCUUGAGAUUUUCGCGAAUCGCUCGCAGCCGAACGUUCUGCUUUGGAGUCUCACAGCCGUUGGCCCGGUGUCUUUCUUUUAUGUAUGGCGUGUGCUUUCUUACAUAGUUUGGGUGGGGUGUGGCUCUUCGUCCGAGUUGUAAGGACAUCCUAAGUGGACGCAGAAGGGACUCUCGGUGUGAUACUGCAGGACCACAGGAUGCGUCUGACGCCUUUGCGGAAAUUCGCUUUUUUUUCAUUUGUCGUCUGCGUGCGCUCACCCCACCCCGGAUGCCUCCUCCUCUUUGAUGCAUCCAGUGGUCCAUGGCCACGUCCUCGAUCUAAGCGCUCUCUCCGCCACUUCUCUCUCUCCUGUGAAGGAAGGGAGCGCCAUGUUUGUUUUCUAUUUGUGUUGACUUGUUCGUUGUCACCAACCUCUGUUCUGUGCGUCAAGACGCCGACCGAGUUCCGGUGACUCUUUCUCAGUGCCGUGCUUGCCUGUGUGUUCCUCUCUACCUCUGCGAGCUAGACUCGUGCCUGAUGGUGUCUUCCUCCAUCCUGCUUCUGUUUUAACGCUGCGCAAGGGAAGUCACGGAAAUAGACCG